rnacentral:rRNA from 1 species
GGUUGCGAUCAUACCAGCAAUAAUGCACCGGAUCCCAUCAGAACUCCGAAGUUAAGCUUGCUUGGGCGAGAGCAGUACUAGGAUGGGUGACCUCCUGGGAAGUCCUCGUGUUGCACCCUUC